rnacentral:rRNA from 1 species
UACGGGGGGGGCAAGCGUUGUUCGGAAUUACUGGGCGUAAAGGGCUCGUAGGCGGCCAACUAAGUCGGACGUGAAAUCCCUCGGCUUAACCGGGGAACUGCGUCCGAUACUGGAUGGCUUGAGUAUGGGAGAGGGAUGCGGAAUUCCAGGUGUAGCGGUGAAAUGCGUAGAGAUCGGGAAGAACAUCGGUGGCGAAAGCGCUCUACUGGACCGCAACUGACACUCAGGGACGAAAGCUAGGGGAGCGAAUGGG